rnacentral:rRNA from 1 species
ACUCCUACGGGAGGCAGCAGUGGGGAAUAUUGCACAAUGGGGGAAACCCUGAUGCAGCCAUGCCGCGUGUGUGAAGAAGGCCUUCGGGUUGUAAAGCACUUUCAGUAGGGAGGAAGGUAGUGUAGUUAACACCUGCAUUAUUUGACGUUACCUACAGAAGAAGCACCGGCUAAACUCCGUGCCAGCAGCCGCGGUAAUACGGAGGGUGCGAGCGUUAAUCGGAAUUACUGGGCGUAAAGCGCAUGCAGGCGGCCUGUUAAGUCAGAUGUGAAAGCCCGGGGCUUAACCUCGGAAUUG